rnacentral:tRNA from 1 species
AGUUCCGUGGUGUAGUGGCCAAUCAUAACGGCCUUUGGACGCGUUCGGGAUUUCCCGUCCGUGAAAGACAGCCGUUGACGGCGGUUCGAAUCCGCCCGGAACUA